rnacentral:rRNA from 1 species
GUGUCAGCAGCCGCGGUAAUACGUAGGGGGCGAGCGUUGUCCGGAUUCAUUGGGCGUAAAGAGCUCGUAGGCGGCUUGGCAAGUCGGAUGUGAAAACUCCAGGCUCAACCUGGAGCCGCCAUUCGAUACUGCCAUGGCUAGAGUCCGGUAGGGGAGUGUGGAAUUCCCGGUGUAGCGGUGAAAUGCGCAGAUAUCGGGAGGAACACCGAUGGCGAAGGCAGCACUCUGGGCCGGUACUGACGCUGAGGAGCGAAAGCGUGGGGAGCGAACAGGAUUAGAAACCCUAGUAGUCC